rnacentral:rRNA from 1 species
GUGUCAGGAGAACGGUCUGGAAAGUCCGGCAGUAAAGGGUGAUAGCCCCGUAUCUGAAGAUGCUGUUAUUGUGAACUCGACGAGUAGGGCGGGACACGUGUUAUCCUGUCUGAAUAUGGGGGGACCAUCCUCCAAGGCUAAAUACUCCUGAUUGACCGAUAGUGAACCAGUACCGUGAGGGAAAGGCGAAAAGAACCCCGGCGAGGGGAGUGAAAAAGAACCUGAAACCGUGUACGUACAAGCAGUAGGAGCCUCUUUAUGGGGUGACUGCGUACCUUUUGUAUAAUGGGUCAGCGACUUAUAUUCUGUAGCAAGGUUAACCGUAUAGGGGAGCCGUAGGGAAACCGAGUCUUAACUGGGCGAAUGAGUUGCAGGGUAUAGACCCGAAACCCGGUGAUCUAUCCAUGGGCAGGUUGAAGGUUGGGUAACACUAACUGGAGGACCGAACCGACUAAUGUUGAAAAAUUAGCGGAUGACUUGUGGAUGGGGGUGAAAGGCCAAUCAAACCGGGAGAUAGCUGGUUCUCCCCGAAAGCUAUUUAGGUAGCGCCUCGUGAANGUGUCAGGAGAACGGUCUGGAAAGUCCGGCAGUAAAGGGUGAUAGCCCCGUAUCUGAAGAUGCUGUUAUUGUGAACUCGACGAGUAGGGCGGGACACGUGUUAUCCUGUCUGAAUAUGGGGGGACCAUCCUCCAAGGCUAAAUACUCCUGAUUGACCGAUAGUGAACCAGUACCGUGAGGGAAAGGCGAAAAGAACCCCGGCGAGGGGAGUGAAAAAGAACCUGAAACCGUGUACGUACAAGCAGUAGGAGCCUCUUUAUGGGGUGACUGCGUACCUUUUGUAUAAUGGGUCAGCGACUUAUAUUCUGUAGCGAGGUUAACCGCAUAGGGGAGCCGUAGGGAAACCGAGUCUUAACUGGGCGAAUGAGUUGCAGGGUAUAGACCCGAAACCCGGUGAUCUAUCCAUGGGCAGGUUGAAGGUUGGGUAACACUAACUGGAGGACCGAACCGACUAAUGUUGAAAAAUUAGCGGAUGACUUGUGGAUGGGGGUGAAAGGCCAAUCAAACCGGGAGAUAGCUGGUUCUCCCCGAAAGCUAUUUAGGUAGCGCCUCGUGAACUCAUCUUCGGGGGUAGAGCACUGUUUCGACUAGGGGGUCAUCCCGACUUACCAACUCGAUGCAAACUGCGAAUACCGAAGAAUGUUAUCACGGGAGACACACGGCGGGUGCUAACGUCCGUCGUGAAGAGGGAAACAACCCAGACCGCCAGCUAAGGUCCCAAAGUCAUGGUUAAGUGGGAAACGAAGUGGGAAGGCUCAGACAGCCAGGAUGUUGGCUUAGAAGCAGCCAUCAUUUAAAGAAAGCGUAAUAGCUCACUGGUCGAGUCGGCCCGCGCGGAAGAUGUAACGGGGCUAAACCAUGCACCGAAGCUGCGGCAGCGAACGUAUCACUUAAAUUUGUUUGAGUGAAUAACGAUUGACGGAACGAAGUGACGUCAAUGCGUUAAUGAAAGUCGAGGCGAAAGCACGACAAAGCGAAUUUAAGGAUACGUUCGUUGGGUAGGGGAGCGUUCUGUAAGCCUGCGAAGGUGUACUGUGAGGUAUGCUGGAGGUAUCAGAAGUGCGAAUGCUGACAUAAGUAACGAUAAUGCGGGUGAAAAACCCGCACGCCGGAAGACCAAGGGUUCCUGUCCAACGUUAAUCGGGGCAGGGUGAGUCGACCCCUAAGGCGAGGCUGAAAAGCGUAGUCGAUGGGAAACGGGUUAAUAUUCCCGUACUGGUGGUAACUGCGAUGGGGGAACGGAGAAGGCUAGGUUGUCCGGGCGACGGUCGUCCCGGUUCAAGCAGGUAGGCAGAGUGAUUAGGCAAAUCCGGUCACUUAAUGCUGAGAUGUGAUGACGAACCACCAAGGUGGUGAAGCAAUUGAUGCCCCGCUUCCAGGAAAAGCCUCUAAGCUUCAGGUUACCAACAAUCGUACCCCAAACCGACACAGGUGGUCAGGUAGAGAAUACUCAGGCGCUUGAGAGAACUCGGGUGAAGGAACUAGGCAAAAUGGUGCCGUAACUUCGGGAGAAGGCACGCUGGCGGUAGGUAAAGUCCCUCGCGGACAGAGCUGAAGCCAGUCGAAGAUACCAGCUGGCUGCAACUGUUUAUUAAAAACACAGCACUGUGCAAACACGAAAGUGGACGUAUACGGUGUGACGCCUGCCCGGUGCUGGAAGGUUAAUUGAUGGGGUUAGCGNAAGCGAAGCUCCUGAUCGAAGCCCCAGUAAACGGCGGCCGUAACUAUAACGGUCCUAAGGUAGCGAAAUUCCUUGUCGGGUAAGUUCCGACCUGCACGAAUGGCGUAAUGAUGGCCAGGCUGUCUCCACCCGAGACUCAGUGAAAUUGAACUCGCUGUGAAGAUGCAGUGUACCCGCGGCAAGACGGAAAGACCCCGUGAACCUUUACUAUAGCUUGACACUGAACAUUGAGCCUUGAUGUGUAGGAUAGGUGGGAGGCUUUGAAGUGUGGACGCCAGUCUGCAUGGAGCCAACCUUGAAAUACCACCCUUUAACGUUUGAUGUUCUAACCUAGGCCCAUAAACUGGGUCGGGGACCGUGUCUGGUGGGUAGUUUGACUGGGGCGGUCUCCUCCUAAAGAGUAACGGAGGAGCACGAAGGUUGGCUAAGCAUGGUCGGACAUCAUGCGGUUAGUGCAAAGGCAUAAGCCAGCUUGACUGCGAGAGUGACGGCUCGAGCAGGUACGAAAGUAGGUCUUAGUGAUCCGGUGGUUCUGAAUGGAAGGGCCAUCGCUCAACGGAUAAAAGGUACUCCGGGGAUAACAGGCUGAUACCGCCCAAGAGUUCAUAUCGACGGCGGUGUUUGGCACCUCGAUGUCGGCUCAUCACAUCCUGGGGCUGAAGUAGGUCCCAAGGGUAUGGCUGUUCGCCAUUUAAAGUGGUACGCGAGCUGGGUUUAGAACGUCGUGAGACAGUUCGGUCCCUAUCUGCCGUGGGCGUUGGAAGAUUGAGAGGGGUUGCUCCUAGUACGAGAGGACCGGAGUGAACGCACCACUGGUGUUCGGGUUGUCAUGCCAAUGGCAUUGCCCGGUAGCUAAGUGCGGAAGAGAUAACCGCUGAAAGCAUCUAAGCGGGAAACUUGCCUCGAGAUGAGUCUUCCCUGUCGCUUUAAGCGACCUAAAGGAACGUUUAAGACUAAGACGUUGAUAGGCUGGGUGUGUAAGCGUAGCGAUACGUUGAGCUAACCAGUACUAAUGAACCGUGAGGCUUAACCUGACAACACCGAAAGUGUUUUG